rnacentral:tRNA from 1 species
GCGCCCGUAGCUCAACUGGAUAGAGCGUCUGACUACGAAUCAGAAGGUUGGGGGUUCGAGUCCCUCCGGGCGUA